rnacentral:RNase_P_RNA from 2 species
AGCACCAAAGCCGCGAGGCUCACACCGUACAGGACCCAUCCCUCUCCCCCCCAGAGGCUGCGAUCCACUCUCGUGAGCGGGCUAAGGUCUGAGCAUUCCAAUCCCUCUCCAUCGACUCUUGCCGGGUCCGGUCUCAACAGACCGCGCGUCGCACCAGAAAUCCAGUCCUCCACGCCGUGCCCUUUCCAGGGCCCCCCGGAGAUGCUCCGUCUCGCACGUUUGCAGAGGGGGCGGCGACGGCGGCGUGUCUGGACUUUGGGAUACGGCGCAGGGAUCGGGCGCGCGCCCUCCCCCCUCGUCCCCCAGCGACGGCGGGCGUGCCGUCCUUUAGUGCACUUCGCGGCUCGCGUUCACGGGGGCCUCGCGCCCCUGCGAAACUCGAUUCAGACUACUCUGGUGCU